rnacentral:rRNA from 1 species
GGUACUUAUAUACUAGAGUUAUGAGGGAGAGGAAAAUAUAGAGCCAUUAGUGUAAUUAAGAGAUAAAAUAUUUUUAAACGAAUGGAACUGGUGAGUGAAAACAGACCUCUAUUAAUAACUGACGUUGAGGGACGAAGGCUUGGGUCACGAAUAGGAUUAGAGACCCUAGUAGUCCAGGCAGACAAUUAUGAGUGUUAUAUUUUAAAAAACUAAAGUAUAAAUGAAAGUGUAAGCAUUCCACCUCAAGAGUAAUGCGGCAACGCAGGAACUGAAAUCAUUAGACCGUUUCUGAAACCAGUAGUGAAGUAUGUUAUUUAAUUCGAUGACCCUCGAAAAACCUUACCACAAUUUGAAUGUUAUGUUACGAUUAAGUAAGGGCAAGGCAAGGCCUGGCCUAAAGUGUUCGAUACAUAAUACAAGUGUUGCACGGCUGUCUUCAGUUAAUGUCGUGAGAUUUAGGUUUGAUCCGCAUAAUUAACGUAAACCCAUAC